rnacentral:rRNA from 1 species
GAUGAACGCUGGCGGCGUGCCUAAUACAUGCCAGUCGAGCGAACGGACGAGAAGCUUGCUUCUCUGAUGUUAGCGGCGGACGGGUGAGUAACACGUGGAUAACCUACCUAUAAGACUGGGAUAACUUCGGGAAACCGGAGCUAAUACCGGAUAAUAUUUUGAACCGCAUGGUUCAAAAGUGAAAGACGGUCUUGCUGUCACUUAUAGAUGGAUCCGCGCUGCAUUAGCUAGUUGGUAAGGUAACGGCUUACCAAGGCAACGAUGCAUAGCCGACCUGAGAGGGUGAUCGGCCACACUGGAACUGAGACACGGUCCAGACUCCUACGGGAGGCAGCAGUAGGGAAUCAUCCGCAAUGGGCGAAAGCCUGACGGAGCAACGCCGCGUGAGUGAUGAAGGUCUUCGGAUCGUAAAACUCUGUUAUUAGGGAAGAACAUAUGUGUAAGUAACUGUGCACAUCUUGACGGUACCUAAUCAGAAAGCCACGGCUAACUACGUG